rnacentral:rRNA from 1 species
GGAUUAGAUACCCUGGUAGUCCACGCCCUAAACGAUGUGUGCUAGUUGUUGGGUCUUAAGAUUCAGUGACGCAGCUAACGCAUUAAGCACACCGCCUGGGGAGUACGGUCGCAAGAUUAAAACUCAAAGGAAUUGACGGGGACCCGCACAAGCGGUGGAGUAUGUUGUUUAAUUCGAAGCAACGCGAAGAACCUUACCUACACUUGACAUCCUGGUCGGGGAUUGCAGAGAUGCUUUCCUUCGGUUCGGCCGGACCAGUGACAGGUGCUGCAUGGCUGUCGUCAGCUCGUGCCG